UCCCCGAGUCCCCAGUGUAGCCCGCAGAUGAGCUCGCAGAAUUUUCCUUAUAUGAUCGGGCCUCGUUGCUGGCGGCGCCGCUGGCCCGGAGCCUGAGAGGAUUAUGAAAACGUUUCAGGCGAGGUGUGGCUGGGGACCGGGG
rnacentral:snoRNA from 1 species